UAUGCUAUGAUUAUUGUUCCUAAUCCUAAUGUCAUAACAAGAUUCACGAUAUUCAUAUAUAUAUUCAUAUCACACAGUUUAUAAUUUCUUUUGGAAGGGUAUCAAUUUUUAAAAACACGUAAAAACAAAUAGAAUAUGUCAACUCCACUUAGGUUCAUAAUUUUUUUUCUUAAUUAAACACAAGAAGAACAUAACACAUAUACGACAGAAAUACAAAGCAACCUAAACAUGCCAG
rnacentral:lncRNA from 1 species